AGUGAAGAUUUACUAUUUUACUUUUAAAUGACAGGGAAGUGAAGCUGGAGCAGAGAAGGUUGAAGGAGAAAAUGAAGGAAUUCAACAAAAAGGAAGCCAAAUUUUAUGGAAACAUGUUUGCGAAAUUAACUAAGGAAUCAUCAAAAGAUGGAGAAGCCAUAAGUACCUGAGUCUUGAAAACGUUCCAAGAACUCUGCAUUUUCAGUUUCUUGCUUCUUUUGGUUUGUUGCAAUGUUUUUCUUAGUUUUUCGUCCUGAGCUUUAGUGAGAGAUUUAUAAAACAGGGACUUCUAUGAUGAGAACAUUUGAUUCCAGUUAGAGAUUAAUCGCAUGUGUUGUUUUUUUCGUCUAGUUGUUGGUAGAACGUGGAGCUAUGAACAUGGAACUUUCAAGAUUAAUUUGAGUUCUUAAUAUGAUAUUGAGUCACGUUUUUGUC